UGUGUGUGUGUGUGUGUGUGUGUGUGUGUGAAUGACUAUAUAUACACACACACACACACACACACACACACACACA